UACGUAGGCAGCAAGCGUUGUUCGGAGUUACUGGGCGUAAAGGGUGUGUAGGCGGUUCUUUAAGUUUGGUGUGAAAUCUCCCGGCUCAACUGGGAGGGUGCGCCGAAUACUGAGGGACUAGAGUACGGGAGAGGAAAGUGGAAUUCCUGGUGUAGCGGUGAAAUGCGUAGAUAUCAGGAGGAACACCGGUGGUGUAGACGGCUUUCUGGACCGACACUGACGCUGAGGCGCGAAAGCGUGGGGAGCGAACAGG
rnacentral:rRNA from 1 species